CUGAAGAUGGGAUUAUGUUAUCUUAUUGUGUAAUUGAAUUCAGUUGCGAGAAGAGAAUGUGGCAUGGUGUGAUCUUUUCUGUCUCUCUGGAGCUCUAAGCAAAUGGAGACCACCACAGAAAACCACAAGUGGAUACAAGGCAGAACCCAACAAAGUUGCUGCCAACGUGCUUAUGGUAUAGGACUAUCUACAGGAGCCUGGUUGGUUCUCCUGUACCAAAUCUCUGAAGACUGAUUCUUUCUUCCCCAGCCAACUUCAAUUGCAAAUAGCUCCUUAGGAAAGAUGAUCCUUGAGCCUUGGGAGGAAGAGUAUCAUAUUGAAGUUCCAUUUAGCACCGAGGACUCCCAAUUUCUUAUUCUCUGUAUGUAGAGAAUAUGCAUGUCUCUGUGUCAAUCAUCUGCUACAAAAGAAACUUCUCUGAUGAGGGAAGGUGUAGCUGAGCAAGGAAGACUCAACCUGAAUGUAGCCAGCAUCAUUCUAUGGACUGGGCUCUUCAGCUGAAUAAAAAGGGACAAAGGAGAGAGGGAGAUGUGCAUCAAAGUUCAUCUUUGUCUACUUCACAACUGCAAGCACAUCAUGACUGGCUGUGUCAUGUUCCCAACACUGCAACUUAUGCACCAAGAUGGACUGGAUGUGACAGCUGUGAGCUCAGAUGAAACCUUUCUUUUCUCAAGUUGUUUCUCAUCAGGUAUGCAACUAACACUACCCAUCCAUCCUGACAGUCAAGUGUGAGAUUCCUUCACCUGGAGCAGCAGAAACACCCCUGAGCUUCCAUUUAAAACAAAUCCACUACAGAGCAAUAGUGAUAAAAACUACCUGGUAUUGGUACAGAGACAGGCAGGAAGAUCAAUGGAAUAGAAUUGAAGACCCAGAAA